rnacentral:lncRNA from 1 species
CAGUAUGAGGCCCCUGGCAACUUCACACGACCUAACUGAACUCUCUCAAGCCAUCCUUUCAAAAGGAAUGAAAAUUGAGGUCUCUUGUUUUAUGCUGAAGACUCUAUGAUGCCUGCAGAGUCAGGAACUCUGGAAUCUUAGGUAUCCUCCUUACAUAUCCAUCUCCAUCACCCCUGGCUGAACAUGCUGAGAAAGAAUGACCCGGCAUGCAAGCAGAGAAGAGUCACUACUUCCUGUGUUCAAACAUGUACGGGCCCUGUGUACACACUCUAUGCAUCACCCAGCACGGUCCUGUUUUUGUGUAGCGUGGCUUCAUUCUUUUGCAAUUCUACUACCAG